GACGAAACGUGCGAACGUUAUUCGGAAUCACUGGGCUUAAAGCGCGUGUAGGCGGGACGGCACGUCUGUCGCUGAAAUCCCCCGGCUUAACCGGGGAACUGGCGGAGAUACGACCGUCCUGGAGGGGCGUAGGGGGACCUGGAACUUCCGGUGGAGCGGUGAAAUGCGUUGAGAUCGGAAGGAACGCCCGUGGCGAAAGCGAGGUCCUGGACGCCUACUGACGCUGAGACGCGAAAGCCAGGGGAGCGAACGGG
rnacentral:rRNA from 1 species